rnacentral:rRNA from 1 species
GUCCACGCCCUAAACGAUGUUCUCUGGCUUUUCCGAGUAUCGACCCUCGGAGAGGCGUAGCUAACGCGUUAAGAGAACCGCCUGGGAAGUACGGCCGCAAGGCUAAAACUCAAAGGAAUAGACGGGGACUCGCACAAGUAGUGGAUCAUGUGGUUCAAUUCGACGGUAACCGAAAACCUUACCAGGGUUAGACAUCCUAACGAAAUCUGCCAGAAACGGUAGACCCCGCAAGGCGGUAGGACAGGUGCUGCAUGGCCGUCGU